CACAUCUUUGUGUGGUUGGAGUGGAGA
rnacentral:piRNA from 1 species